AAACCCUAGACCUAAAACAUUUUCCAAACCAGCCGCCCCCUUUCUCCCUCUUUUUUUUCUUCAAACCCAUCAAAACUACCAUUUCCGACCACCUUUUAACCGGAGAUUCCCAUCUCCCUGCCAUCCAUAACCAACGCUGGACAUGCCGGAGAAAACAGUGAGCCUCCUACCACCAGUCGCGGUGGUGCAGCAACCAUGCAGCUAGCGAGGCCAGCCACCAGCACUGCCUCCCAUCGAAUCAGCAAUCCUAGCGCCGACCACCAGCCACCACAACUAUCACUGGCUGGUGAAAGUUGCACCCGCAUGAACCCACCAACUUUUAGAAUCUUUGACAAAGACAAGCAUCUCGUAUUGUUCGUCAGUGACUUUCUGUGGCUGAGAUCGAGUUAACUGGGGAGAUGGAACCAGAUUAUAGUUGGAUAUAUCAACGAAAUAUUGAUAAUAGAAUGGAUGAUGCUGAGAUUGAAGAUGCGGAUGAUGAGUUGUAGUUUUUAGUCUUUUGUAUGUUUUAUAGUUUGGAUUUGGAACCUCGAUAAAUUUUAUCAAUAAUUUGAUUUUUAAUGUUUGUAUUCUUAUGGUGGUUGAUUGAUUGUGUAUUAAAUGAUUGGUGGGUUGUAUUAUAAAGAAUUUGAUUUGAUUU